AGCGAACGCUGGCGGCAGGCCUAACACAUGCAAGUCGAACGAACCUUUCGGGGUUAGUGGCGGACGGGUGAGUAACACGUGGGAACGUGCCUUUAGGUUCGGAAUAACUCAGGGAAACUUGUGCUAAUACCGAAUGUGCCCUUCGGGGGAAAGAUUUAUCGUCUUUAGAGCGGCCCGCGUCUGAUUAGCUAGUUGGUUAAGGUAAUGGCUCACCAAGGCGACGAUCAGUAGCUGGUCUGAGAGGAUGAUCAGCCACAUUGGGACUGAGACACGGCCCAAACUCCUACGGGAGGCAGCAGUGGGGAAUCUUGCGCAAUGGGCGAAAGCCUGACGCAGCCAUGCCGCGUGAAUGAUGAAGGUCUUAGGAUUGUAAAAUUCUUUCACCGGGGACGAUAAUGACGGUACCCGGAGAAGAAGCCCCGGCUAACUUCGUG
rnacentral:rRNA from 1 species